rnacentral:rRNA from 1 species
AACGGCGAGUGAAGCGGCAACAGCUCAAAUUUGAAAUCUGGCCCCCAGGCCCGAGUUGUAAUUUGUAGAGGAUGAUUCUGGCGACGCGCCUUCCGAGUUCCCUGGAACGGGACGCCAUAGAGGGUGAGAGCCCCGUCCGGUCGUGCGCCUAGCCUCUGUGAAUCUCCUUCGACGAGUCGAGUAGUUUGGGAAUGCUGCUCUAAAUGGGAGGUAUACGUCUUCUAAAGCUAAAUACCGGCCAGAGACCGAUAGCGCACAAGUAGAGUGAUCGAAAGAUGAAAAGCACUUUGAAAAGAGGGUUAAAUAGUACGUGAAAUUGCUGAAAGGGAAGCGCUUAUGACCAGACUUGGGCGUGGUGAAUCAUCCGGCGUUCUCGCCGGUGCACUUUGCCUGUCCAGGCCAGCAUCAGUUCUCCCCGGGGGAUAAAGGCUUCGGGAAUGUAGCUCUUUCGGGAGUGUUAUAGACCGUUGCGUAAUACCCUGGGGGGGACUGAGGUACGCGUUCUGCAAGGAUGCUGGCGUAAUGGUCAUCAGUGACCCGUCUUGAAACACGGACCAAGGAGUCGUCUUCGUAUGCGAGUGUUCGGGUGUCAAACCCCUACGCGUAAUGAAAGUGAACGUAGGAGAGAGCUUCGGCGCAUCUCCGACCGAUCCUGAUGUUCUCGGAUGGAUUUGAGUAAGAGCAUACGGGGCCGGACCCGAAAGAAGGUGAACUAUGCCUGUAUAGGGUGAAGCCAGAGGAAACUCUGGUGGAGGCUCGCAGCGGCUUCUGACGYGCAAAUCGAUCGUCAAAUAU